rnacentral:rRNA from 1 species
AGGUCAAGCUACAAAGGGCGCACGGAGGAUGCCUUGGCACCAGGAGCCUAAGAAGGACGUGAUAAGCUGCGAAAAGCUCUGGGUAGGCGCAAAUAGCCAGAGAACCAGAGAUAUCCGAAUGGGGAAACCCACCCGGCAAAGACCGGGAACUGGAGUCUGAAUACAUAGGACUUCAGAGGCAAACCCGGGGAACUGAAACAUCUAAGUACCCGGAGGAAGAGAAAGAAAGAUCGAUUUUCCAAGUAGCGGCGAGCGAAAGGGAAAGAGCCCAAACCAGGAACUUGUUCCUGGGGUUGAGGUCAGGUCAAAAAGAGAGAGGAAGCUUAAGCGAAUACAACUGGAAAGUUGAGCCGCAGACGGUAAAAGCCCGGUAGGUGAAAAGCAGAGACUCGAAG